AGGCUUCGGGGCCACCAACAUAUAAAAAUCUCAGCUCAAAUCUCAGCCUCAAAUCUUAAAUUUCUGACUCUGGUGAGAUUCUGCUAAAACGGCGUGCCACCAAACUUUCUCAGAGUCGCCUCACGAGAGUUGAGUUUUACGGAAAAAUCUCAGCUUAUUUUCGUUACCGCAAGCGGCCUCUCAGGGAAAAUGGCGUCGAUCGGGAGCAGUGGUUCGGAGUGCUGAGAACAGGUGGAGAGGCUGCCAAACAAUACAGCAACUUAAAGCAGAGAGGAAUGUACAACAAACCACUUAAUCUUCAAAAGGAAAGCUGUCUGAAAUCAAGAGACCAAAGACAGGUGGUGGCCCUAAACCUUUAUCUCCCUCAGCAUCAGAGAAGGCCAUGCUAAAGAAUUUAGAGGGUAGGUCAUCAUUAGAUGGCCUCUCUGGAUGUAUUGACACCUCAGCCUUAUCGGAUACAAGUAAGUCAUCAAGAAAAAGGAAGAUGAACAUCCAGGAGCUUGAAAUUGAGAAUUUAAGACUGGAAAACACUAAACUGUAGAAGAAAUUCAAGCGUUGAAUACAUUUCACGAGAAAUAGGUGUCUCUGAUGUGAUCCCGCACCGUUCUUCCAACAGCGUCCUCCGGAAUAACAAAAUCAGGGGCCACCAAUGAAGCAGGAAUCUGGGGAACAUCUCUAAGAAUGUCUCCCCUGUCUAGGCCAAUGUUGUGCAGGAUGACACAUGCAGUAAUCAUCCUGCACGCUCUCUCAGGAUUGGCUCGAAGACCCGUGUGGAGCGCAUUAAACCUUUUCUUCAGAACACCAAAUGUCUGUUCAAUUGUAACCCUUAAAACAGAAAGACAAAAAAGAAAAUAAAGUAUGAUGUGUCGUAUUUGGUAGAUUGUCAGAGGUAAUGGGUGUGCGUACUUGCCUGGUUCUGCAAUGAGCUGAAUUAAAUCUUUGAGAUGGUGCUGUUUCAGUGGAGAUAUACGGAGUCAUCAAGUAUGGUUUUAAACCGUAUCCUGAGUCUCCUAAGAGAGUUCCUUGAAUUUGACCUAAAAUAAUAUAUACAAUUAUAUAAAAGAAAGGAAUGGAGAGACAACUAAUGUCUAAAUGAUAGUUUUAUUUGCUAUGGACAUACCUUCUUCCAUGAUUUUGCACAGUUGGGACUCGCGAAAUAUUCUGGAAUCAUGAACACUUCCAGGCCACUUGGCUACAAGAUCGAUUACUCUGAAUCGAGGGUCACACGUCAUCUAUUAAUUAUAAACAAUGUUAAUUUAAUUAUUAUAUUAUCAUAAUUCAAUAUAUAAAGCUUAUUCAAAGUCUCUUUUUCAGGGGUGAAACAACUUAUUUCAGUGCAAAAUUCUUUUGCAAGCAAAAUUGACAUGGUUUUUUCCUUUUAUUUUAUUUCAGAAUUGAACAUGUAACAAAACAAUUUGCACAAUAAUGCUAUGAAAUCUAAAAUCUUUGAGAAUGAUUUGACUCUUAUUAAGGGUGCUUGGUGGUCAUGGCCAUUUCAGACUGUAUUAAUUUUUUUAAAGGAGAGCUCUAUAUUGGAAUAUAGGAAAAUGUCCAAAUUUAAAAUGUAAUUAAAGUACAUGUAUAUGGGUUUUUGUCACUUAAAGCAAUAUGAGCUGUAUUUUUUAGAAUUUUAUUUUGCUGCAAAAACCUGCUAGUAUGAUAAGUCUUCAUAUAACUUGAACUUUUAUGAUAAAUAAUAUUUGAAAAAAUCAUUAAUUUUUGUCAAAGAAAAUAUUUCUCUUCUAAGGAAUAUUUAGCAAAUCAAUUUUUGUACAGGACCACAAUAAUUCAUUUUUGCUCUAGAUAAGGCUUCUUAACGGCGUUUUCCACAAAAAUAUGGCUAACAGAAAUUUAAAAACCAUGAUAUUUUUGUCAUUUUAGUAGAAAAGAUCAUUUAAGUAAAAAAUUAAGAAUGAACUGAUGGUUAUUUUGUUGACCACCCAUUCUCUCAACUUUAAGUGACAGGAAAAUCAUGUCACAUGAUGAAAAUCAUGCACACCUGGAUGUUAAGGGCAUAAUAUCCUUUGCGACAAAUGUAGUCUGCUUCAUUGACGUGGGGAGCUUUUAUUUUGACCAUUGUUCCAUCAACGCACCCCACAAUGCCUGGAAAUCCUGCAAUUUAGUUUUAUAUGAAUAAAUUGUUAACCAUUUAAAAAAAUAUGGUUCCUUAACAUGAUGAUACAGCUUGUAUGGCAUGACAGACAUUGCAAUACUCAAUCAUUUCCAUUGGUAUUGUAUAAAUAUUUAUUGCAUUGUUUAACUUUUUAUUUGUAUUCUAUAAUUUUCCAUUUGCAUUGUAUGAAUUUCUUUUGUAUUGUGUAAUUUUCCACUUGUAUUAUAUAAAUGUCAAAUUGUAUUCUAUAAUUUUCCAUUUGUAUUCUAUAAUUUUCCAUUUGUAUUUUGUAAAUAUUUAUUUGUAUUGUACCAUUUGCUAUUUGUAUUGUAUCAUUUUCCAUUUGUAUUGUAUAAUUUUCAAUUUUUGUUCUAUAAUUAAACAAUACUAAUUGAAAAAUAUAGAAAACAAUGAAAGAAGAUGGAUUAAUAAGGCAUGUAAAAUGCCCAUAUGAGGAAUGAUUAAAUACCCCAAAAUUUAAAUAUCAUUAAAUCUGAUAAUUUUUUAUAAUAAUUAUA